GGCAUGUAAGUCAAAACACAGAAUCACAAAAUAAAUUUAGUUCGUUAAUUUGUCUCUAAAGCCUAAUUUUUAUAGAGCCAGGUUCCUGAGAUGAGUAGGAAGUGAAAGCUAACUAGAUAGUCACUGCCAAAGGGGCCCUAAGUCAAACUAGUAAUACUAUAUCCUUGUAAGUUUUCCUACACUAUGUAAAAUCAUGGUUGUGAAAUCGGGGGAAAUGAACAUGGGGGUGACUGGCAGGAUAAUUCACAGAGUGCCUAAAAAUAACAUGGU
rnacentral:lncRNA from 1 species